CUGCUCGAAGCUCAAAUGGAUGAGCGCCGGCCUCCGACGCCGGAGGGUGCUGGUUCGACUCCAGCCGGGCAGGCCA
rnacentral:tRNA from 1 species